CCAACUGUAGCUGAGAUCUAUUCAAAGAGAGAGAGGAAAAAGCAAUGAGGAUGUUUUGAAUUUUUCAAAAAGUUGGAGACCUGCUCCCGGGACCAUGCUUCUCACUAUAAAUCUUUCACAGGAUUCUGUCAGCUCCAUUGUCCACGGGUUGAUUACAAAACCCAUCAUUCUAACCGCAUCUUUCCUUGAAGUGAAUCCUCUGGUGAGUGGUGCCUGGGCUGUCCGUCUCCUUUAAAUCAGAGUUCUGGCAUCAGAAAUGGUGUGUCGCUUUUCCUUCCCUUUUAUUUUAUCCAGUCUUGGGCACAGUGUGUCACCUAAUUAGCACAACAAAUGUAAUUUUAUCUGACUUUCCCUCUUUUCAUGGCUCAUUAUUUUUCCUCCAGUGCAGGAAAUUGCUGUCCGCAUCAUUUUUUAUUGUUCCUCUUUCUCAUAGAGAAUUCCCCAUUUGAAAGACAUUUUCUUUAGUUUUCUUCUGUAAAAGCCCUCUCGUGACCUUUUUGCCUACCAACAAAGACCCAUUUCCUGACCAGCAUCAGCAAUCGAUUCCUUUACGAACGAUUUGGUUUAAGGUCAGUGCUGGCCUAUAAUAUAACUACUUAAAUAUAUGUAGCUCUAAAGAAAAGUGGAAAUGGUCUGUAAGAGUGCAAGUAAAAUAUCCCGUCUCAGAGAAAGCAGUUCAUUUUCUGAUGUUUUGAAAGCAGUAGCCAACGAUGUGAUGUUGUUUCUAAAGAAAACUCACAUCAUCCUGGAAGCCCCUGGCCACAUCCCUCAACCAGAAACUUCCUCCAUGUCUCGUGCUGUAUUAUUCAGUUCAGUUCCCAAUACGGAGUUUCAAGAGAGAUGCUAACAAAUUAGAAGAAGGUGUUCAAGAUGUAAGGGGCCUGGAAAAAAACAUCUUGUUGAGUGUAUAAAGAAGAUAGGGUGGGCAUGAUGCUCAUUGUCACAUCUUUGAAAGAGUAUUUUGUUACGAAAGACAGGCUUGUUCUGUUUUCCUGCAGAAACAUAAGUACCCAUGAGUAUAAAUCUAAACAAGGCAAACGAUGGCACGGACACCUCAUCAGUCGGGGUGGCCAGCCAGCCAGGAGUAUGCACAGAGAAGAGAAAAUUUUGAUCUGCCAAUUGAAACUCCUGCCAGAGCUUCUGCAUACCAGCCUACCCUCUCUAAUCCCUUAAACCCUACCCUAUACCCUGGAUCCGGGAGACAGGUUUGAGAGCAUGUCCUCCUAUCUCCUUGCCAAUCGAUUGCAUAAUAAACUUUCUUCCCUUAAA
rnacentral:lncRNA from 1 species